UGCAGUGUGCAAAGAUUCUUGCACACAACUGAGUCCACUGCUGCCCCUAGGAUUUGUGGGGUGAUGAAGUGUAUCCCACAUUGGCAUUAAAAGUCUAGCAGAGCAGCUCUAACUAUGUCAAAGUGGUCAAGAUGAGAAAAGCCUUCUAAGCUUCUAAGUCCACGCAACUGGGUGGACUCCUUGAAAGAUUCCUUUCACUCAUACCAUACUGGACCCUGAGAUCUUAAUUGGAGGCCCUUCUUCAGGUUCCCACCACCUAAUGAGCUCAAAGGCACAGACAUACCCUUUUAGCAGUCAAAGGUUACUGACCACUAUGGUUGUUUAUCAGGAUGCCAAAGAAAACGUAAAUAUAACACAAUUUUAUAUGGUUCUCAGCUCCCAAAUAAAAAGAAC